GGCAUGAGUAUCAUUAUUUUAGAUAUCUCAUAUAAGUAGUAGUAUUAUGCACUAUUUGUCCUUCUGCGGCUAGCUUAUUUUGCUUUGCAUAAUGUCCUCAAGUUUCAUCCAUGUUGUCAUAUAUUGCAGGAUUUCCUUCUUUCUUAAGGCUGAAUAAUAUCCUAUCGUAUGUAUAUACCACAUUUUCUUUUUUUUAAUUGAGUUAUAGUCAGUUUACAAUGUUGUGUCCAUUUCUGGUGUACAUGCACAGUUUUUCAUUCAUACAUGAAUAUACAUAUACUUGUUUUCAUAUUCUUUUUCACCAUGAACUACUACAAGAUCUUAACUAUAUUUCCCUGUGCUAUACAGUAUAAACUUGUUUAUCUAUUCUAUAUAUACCUGUCAGUAUCUACAAAUCUCAAACUCCCAGUCCGUCCCUACCCACCUCCCACAAGUUUGUAUUCUAUGUCUCGAGUCUGUUUCUGUUUUAUAUUUAAGUUCAUUAGUCUUCUGGGUUUUUUUCCAGAUUCCACAUAUGAGUGACAGCAUAUGGUAUUUUCCUUUCUCUUUCUGGCUAACUUCACUUAGAAUGACAUUCUCCAGGGACAUCCAUGUUGCUGCAAAUGGCAUUAUGUUGUCAUUUUUACGGCUGAAUGGUAUUCCAUUGUAUAAAUAUACGACAGCUUCUUUAUCCAGUCAUCUGUCUAUGGACAUUUAGGUUCUUUCCACGUCUUGGCUAUUGUAAAUAGUGCCGCUAUGAACAUUGGGGUGCAGGUGUCUUUUUGAAUUAGGGUUCCUUCUGGAUAUAUGCCCAGGAGUGAGAUAAUACCACAUUUUCUUUAUCCAUUGAUCUGUCCAUGGACAUUUAGUUGCUUCCACAUCUUGGCUAUUGUAAAUAGUUCUGCAGUGAAUAUGUGAGUGCAGAUAGCUAUCGAGAUCCUAAUGUCAAAUCCUUUGUCUACAUACACAGAAGUGGAAUUGCUGGAUCAUGUGGUAGAUCCAGUUUUAAUUUUUUGAGAAACUGUUAUACUGUUUUUCAUAGCGUCUGCACCAUUUUCCAUUCCUACCAACAGUGCACAAGUGGUUGAAUUUGUCUACAUCCUUGCCAACACUUUUUAGUUUUUGUUUUUGGGAAAAGCUGGGAUUUGAGGGGUUUUGCCUUGCUCGCUCUGCAUUAAGCUAUGGGGAGGGCUAUUUCCAGUGAGUGUGCACUAGUUCAGACCAUCACCUUUGUUCUCAGUGGUUCCCAACGUGGGGCUCUUCCCUCUGUGUACUCAGACUCAGGCAAGACAUAAAAUAAGUCCCUCAGGCUGCUCCUGAAAAUGAGACCCUUUAAUGUAUGGUCCAGUCCUCUCUUUUUCUCCCCAGGGACAAGCUACGAGUUGAGGUUUUCCUCUCAAUCGUGAGGUGCUGUGCUGGGAGAAGGGAAUAUAGCAAGAAGGAUUUAGAAAGCUGGAGAAAGCGUUGCGCCCACACUAAUGAGAAAAAGCUGGAACAACUACAGAAUCAUGCAUCCUCUGGAACUCAUGAGGGAUCUGUGGGCAAGGGAACUCCACUAGCCUGAAUUCCAGUUAAGGACGGGCCCUCCUUAGAUAAGAAAGGAUACACGGACUGUCUCACCUGUGACAGAAAGAACUGAAUUUUCCUCAAAACUCAACAAAAUCUAUCGAGUACUAUUAUUUACUCCUCUUUCUAGAUACAGAGGCAUGGAAAGAUGAAAUAACUUGUCCAAGGUCACACAACUGGUAAGAGGUGCAGUCGGGAUCUGAACCCUGUUCGUUCAGCCCCGCCAUCCUUGGUCUGACACCCUCUGCUAUGCUGCCCCUGUUGGUACCUGCAGCCCUAACCCAGCACCCAAAGAAAUACUUUAAUGAAGACUGAUGCCAGUGGUCCUGAACCUUGCCCCCUGUAUCUGAUCCCGAAGUGCAUGAGAUUUAUGCCCGUUAUCUCAUAACACAGCAAGGAUAAUAAUCACAGAGUCAAGGAAGUGUCACUGGCAAAGCCCAUGAGUAAUACCUGGGGAAUAGAAAUAGAAUCUGUGUAAUAAAGUCUAACCUUUUUCUUUUC